rnacentral:lncRNA from 1 species
GGGGAGUGAGAUAUGAAAGUUCAAUGUGAGUUCCUUUACAAUAAACCAAGACAUACAAUUAUACUUUUAAACAUUAAAUAACACCAUACAACAUUAUCAAGACUCAAUUGGUUAUAAAUAUCUGUCAAUUUCAAAUACGAUAAUUCAGUGUUGUUACUUUAGUUAAGCAAUAAUAAUAUUCUCAAAUAUGGACAAUCAACUAAAUCAAUUUUAGGGUUAUUCAUACUGUUCACGAAAGAUAUAUGCACAUAAAUCAGUUGAAUCAUUUCAUCAAGUAAAUUCAG